rnacentral:rRNA from 1 species
GAUCCUGGCUCAGGAUGAACGCUAGCUACAGGCUUAACACAUGCAAGUCGAGGGGAAACGACAUCGAAAGCUUGCUUUUGAUGGGCGUCGACCGGCGCACGGGUGAGUAACGCGUAUCCAACCUGCCCAUCGCUUGGGGAAUAACCUUGCGAAAGUAAGACUAAUGCCCAAUGAUAUCCCGACGAAGGCAUCCGAAUGGGAUUAAAGAUUUAUCGGUGAUGGAUGGGGAUGCGU